rnacentral:rRNA from 1 species
AUUGAACGCUGGCGGCAGGCCUAACACAUGCAAGUCGGGCGAGCGGCGGACGGGUGAGUAAUGUAUGGGGAUUUGCCUGAUGUCGGGGUAUAACUACUGGAAACGGUAGCUAAUACCGCAUACCAUCAGAUGAACCCAUAGGGGAUUCGCUAGUAGGUAAGGUAAAGGCUUACCUAGGCGACGAUCCCUAGCUGGUCUGAGAGGAUGAGCAGCCACACUGGGACUGAGACACGGCCCAGACGCCUACGGGAGGAAGCAGGGGGGAAUAGUGCACAAUGGGAGCAAGCCUGAUGGAGCCAUGCCGCGUGGAUGAAGAAGGCAUUCGGGUUGUAAAGUACUUUUGGCAGAGAAGCGGUAUCUGCAGAAUAAGCACCGGCUAACUACGUGCCAGCCGCCGCGGUAAUAC